UACGUAGGGUGCAAGCGUUAAUCGGAAUUACUGGGCGUAAAGCGUGCGCAGGCGGUUUUGUAAGUUUGUCGUGAAAUCCCCGGGCUCAACCUGGGAAUGGCAUUCGAGACUGGCAUAGCUGGGAUGCGGAAGAGGGAAGCGGAAUUUCCGGUGUAGCGGUGAAAUGACGUAGAGUAUACGGAAGGAACACCAGUGGCGAAAGCGGCU
rnacentral:rRNA from 1 species